GAUGAACGCUGGCGGCGUGCCUAAUACAUGCAAGUCGAGCGAACGGACGAGAAGCUUGCUUCUCUGAUGUUAGCGGCGGACGGGUGAGUAACACGUGGAUAACCUACCUAUAAGACUGGGAUAACUUCGGGAAACCGGAGCUAAUACCGGAUAAUAUUUUGAACCGCAUGGUUCAAAAGUGAAAGACGGUCUUGCUGUCACUUAUAGAUGGAUCCGCGCUGCAUUAGCUAGUUGGUAAGGUAACGGCUUACCAAGGCAACGAUGCAUAGCCGACCUGAGAGGGUGAUCGGCCACACUGGAACUGAAACACGGUCCAGACUCCUACGGGAGGCAGCAGUAGGGAAUCUUCCGCAAUGGGCGAAAGCCUGACGGAGCAACGCCGCGUGAGUGAUGAAGGUCUUCGGAUCGUAAAACUCUGUUAUUAGGGAAGAGCAUAUGUGUAAGUAACUGUGCACAUCUUGACGGUACCUAAUCAGAAAGCCACGGCUAACUACGUG
rnacentral:rRNA from 1 species